ACCAUUUGUUUAACUGCGGAGAUAAUUCACUAAUAGUCUAAAAGACAAUAACUACUCACGAAAGGUUGGUCAUUUUAGCGCUGUUACAAAUUUCGGUAGAAUUACUGGCUCUCGGAUCUUAACUACGCAAUAUCACUCACUGAAAUUCCAAUAGUAAAAGGGAAGAUAUAACUCGAAUGGAUUGGCGAGAAUUCUCUCCUGAUUUAAAUGCCAUAGAACAUGUGUGGGAUGCUUUUGGGAGACACCUUGCGGUACGAUGACAUCCUCCAGGAAACACGCAACAACUGAAACAGGAAGGAAUGCGUAUUCUUACCUCAAGAACUGUUGGGCAGUCUGGUACUGAGUAUGGAGAGACGAUGCGAAGCAACCAU